rnacentral:rRNA from 1 species
UACGGAGGGUGCGAGCGUUAAUCGGAAUUACUGGGCGUAAAGGGUGCGUAGGUGGUAUGGUAAGUUAUCUGUGAAAUCCCUGGGCUCAACCUGGGCAGGUCAGAUAAUACUGCUGUACUCGGGUAUGGGAGAGGGUGGUGGAAUUUCCGGUGCAGCGGUGAAAUGCGUAGAGAUCGGAAGGAACACCAGUGGCGAAGGCGGCUACCUGGCCUAAUACUGACACUGAGGCACGAAAGCGUGGGGAGCAAAC